UUAUUAAGUGUUUUAUGCGUAACCGAAUUAAGGUAAAGUUCUUCCUAUAUUAAUUGGUUUAUUAUUAUUAUGUUACUGGAUGUCACUCCACCCGCUUAAUAUUUAUGUAGAUAAAGGCGCUGGUAAUCUUUUAUUAUGCAAUUGCUUGUUGUCCUAAAUAAAAUAAAAUCUUAAAAAUGAAGUACUUUAUAGGAUGGAAUAUAGAUCACGAGCAAGCCCAGAGCAGUUCGCAGCUUUACUGGAAUUCAUGGAAAGCCAUGGCGAUUUAACAAGGCCGCAGCAAGGCCCCCAAGGUCGAAUAAAAGCUGACCGACUGUGGCAGGAACUAGGAGAGCUGCUUAACUCGCUUGGUGGAGGAGUAACAAAGCCAGUGGACAAAUGGAAAAAAGUUAGAUUGUGACACAAACUUCUGUAAAAUAUUAUUUGGUUUCCUAUUA